CACUGUGGCGCCGCCGGCAGCGAAGCCGCGCGCCGCCAUGUUUGAUUCGGGCCGAGGGCUCUUGGCGCAGGGCGCUGAGGCGGCGGCCAUUUUGAGUGUAUCCAGUGUCCUGUGAAAUGCUGAAGGGCAAACCUGGAGAAGGGAUGAAAUCCCUCUGCUUUUAUCCCAGCAGGGAGGAAGUGGGGAGCAGUUUGUGUGGUGCCAUCUCAGCCCAGCUCUGGGGGGUUGAGUUACCCAAAGGUUGGGAUGAAGCUGCAGAGCUGGAAAUACCCAGAUGUGAAGAUCCAGGAUAGCUGCUGCUUUGACUUCCCCGUCUUCAGAAGGUGAGUGGAGGUGGGCUCCCUCUGGUUUGGGUUCCUGAUUAAUCACUUUCAUACCUGGAUUUAGGUGCAGGUGACAGCAGCACCAGGGAUCUCUUGGAAAGACUGAAGAAUUCCUGAUCCAGUGUGAUGUCUGUGGGUUGGGUUAUUCCCACUUCUCCAGUGGGAUAACUGGGAAUGGCUGCUGUUUGCGGCUGGAUUUUUGGCAGAGCCUCAGCCACCUGACCCAUGUUAGGCUGGAGCUGAGCAGGGCUUGGAGCCUCAGUUACUCUGUCACCAGCCUGACCUUAGUUCUUGUCCUGGUGCAGUGAGUGAUGUGCAAGCAGGGCAGGGCAGACUGGGAUCCCAGGGGAUGGAGUGGG